AACGUAGGACACAAGCGUUAUCCGGAGUUACUGGGCGUAAAGGGCGUGUAGGCGGGUGCGUAAGUCUACUCUGAAAGCUCCUGGCUAAACUGGGAGAGGCGAGUGGAGACUGCGUGUCUAGAGUGAGGAAGAGGAAAGUGGAAUUCCGCGUGUAGUGGUGAAAUGCGUAGAGAUGCGGAGGAACACCAGUGGCGAAGGCGGGUCUCUGGGCAGUGACUGACGCUGAGA
rnacentral:rRNA from 1 species